UACGUAGGAUCCAAGCGUUAUCCGGAAUUACUGGGCGUAAAGCGUACGUAGGUGGAUGUUUAAGUGAGAUGCGAAAUCUGUCGGCUCAACCGGCCAGACUGUGUCUCAUACUGGACGUCUGGAGGUUGGCAGAGGCAAGUGGAAUUUCCGGUGUAGCAGUGAAAUGCGUAGAGAUCGGAAGGAACACCAAUGGCGAAGGCAGCUUGCUGGGCCACACCUGACACUGAGGUACGAAAGCGUGGGGAGCGAACAGG
rnacentral:rRNA from 1 species